UUGACCUCAAAUCAGGUAGGGCUACCCGCUGAACUUAAGCAUAUCAAUAAGCGGAGGAAAAGAAACUAACAAGGAUUCCCCUAGUAACUGCGAGUGAAGCGGGAAAAGCUCAAAUUUAAAAUCUGGUAGUCUUCGGCUGCCCGAGUUGUAAUCUAGAGAAGCAUUAUCUGCGCUGGACCGUGUACAAGUGUCCUGGAAUGGACCAUCAUAGAGGGUGAGAAUCCCGUCUUUGACACGGACUCCCAGGGCUUUGUGAUGUGCUCUCAAAGAGUCGAGUUGUUUGGGAAUGCAGCUCUAAAUGGGUGGUAAAUUCCAUCUAAAGCUAAAUAUUGGCGAGAGACCGAUAGCGAACAAGUACCGUGAGGGAAAGAUGAAAAGAACUUUGGAAAGAGAGUUAAACAGUACGUGAAAUUGCUGAAAGGGAAACGCUUGAAGUCAGUCGCGUUGGCUGGGGAUCAACCUUGCUUUUUUGCUUGGCUUACUUCCCAGUUGACGGGUCAGCAUCAGUUUUGACCGGUGGAUAAAGGCUAGGGGAAUGUGGCACCCUCGGGUGUGUUAUAGCCCUUGGUCAUAUGCAUUGGUUGGGACUGAGGAACUCA
rnacentral:rRNA from 1 species